AAGUCUCAAAAGUGCCAAAACCUCCCUCCCCCUCCCUCCUUUCCAAAUUUCAACACGCACCACCAACACAAACACAAACACGAACACUGAAACACUCCUUAAGAAACGACGAUGCAUUUCUCUCUUUCUUCUUCCCUCUCUCGCUAAAACUGAAACUGUUCCUCUUCUUCAAUCAAUCAAUCAAAGAUGAGUACAGUAGACAAGAUGCUGAUAAAAGGAAUCCGGAGCUUCGACCCGGAAAACAAACACGUCAUCACCUUCUUAAGGCCUCUUACUCUCAUCGUCGGCCCCAACGGCGCUGGAAAAACCACGAUAAUAGAGUGCUUGAAAGUUGCAUGCACCGGAGAGUUGCCUCCGAAUGCUAGGUCUGGUCACAGUUUCAUCCAUGACCCUAAGGUUGCCGGUGAAACGGAGACGAAGGGGCAAAUUAAGCUGCGGUUUAAGACCGCGGCCGCGAAGGAUGUGGUGUGUAUAAGGUCAUUUCAGUUGACACAAAAGGCGUCAAAAAUGGAGUAUAAAGCCAUUGAGAGUGUGCUUCAAACGAUCAAUCCACAUACUGGAGAGAAAGUCUGCCUUAGCUAUAGAUGUGCUGAUAUGGAUCGAGAAAUUCCUGCUUUGAUGGGUGUCUCGAAGGCCAUUCUAGAAAAUGUUAUAUUCGUGCACCAGGAUGAAGCUAAUUGGCCUCUACAAGAUCCUUCUACGUUAAAGAAGAAAUUCGAUGAUAUCUUCUCUGCUACUCGAUAUACAAAAGCCUUGGAGGUCAUCAAAAAGCUUCACAAGGAUCAAGCUCAAGAGAUAAAGACAUACAAACUAAAAUUAGAGAAUCUUCAAACCUUGAAGGAUGCUGCAUAUAAGCUUCGGGAAAGCAUUGGUCAAGAUCAAGAGAAAACAGAAAUUUUAAAAGUCCAAAGUCAGGAGUUAGAAAGUAACCUUCAGAAUUUGGAUGCAAAAAUUCAUCAUACUGAAGUAACUCUGAAAGAUAUGAGAAAAUUACAGGACCAAAUAACAAUCAAGACUGCUGAAAGAAGCACUUUGUUCAGGGAGCAGCAGAGGCAGUAUGCAGCUCUUGCUGAAGAAAAUGAAGACACUGAUGAAGAACUACAGGAGUGGAAAACCAAGUUUGACGAAAAGAUUGCAAGUUUGGAAUCGAAUAUUUGCAAAUUGGAGAGGGAAAUGAAUGACAUGGAGACAAAGGGUUCUUUUCUUAAGCAAAACAUUAAUGAGUAUAUCCGAGAGAUCAGCAGGCUUCAGACUGAAGCUGAGGCUCAUGCAUCCUUGAAGAAUGAAAGAGAUUCCAAUAUCCAAAAAAUGUAUACAAGACAUAAUCUAGGUCCUCUUCCUAAUGCCCCAUUCAGUGAUGAUGUUGCUUUGAACCUCACAAAUAGAUUAAAGUCAAGGUUGGUGGAUCUUGAUAAGGAUCUACAAGAUAAAAAGACAUCAAAUGAUACUGAAGUUAAGAGAGCAGAGAAUUGCUACUGGGAUGCCAAUGAACGCUGGAAAAAUACGGAGGCUCAAAAACAGGCUAAAGUAGAGAUAAAGAAUAGCAUUUUAAAUCGCAUUACAGAGAAGGAAAGGGAGCACUCUUCCUUUGAAGAACAAAUUUCACAUGUUAAUCUUUCUCACAUUGAUGAAAAAGAAAAGAACAUGCGAAUUGAGGUUGAGAGAAAGACAAAUCAGCUAGCUGAAAGAGAAUUUGAAUCACACAUUCGACAAAAGCAGAGUGAGCUGUAUGGCAUAGAGCAACAGAUUAAGGUUCUUAAUCGAGAGAAAGACAUUUUGGCUGGAGAUUCUGAGGACAGAGUGAAACUGUCUCUAAAGAAAGUAGAGCUGGAAAACCAUAAAAAGAAACAUCGAAAAAUAAUUGAUGAAUGCAAGGAUAAAAUCAGAGGAGUGCUAAAAGGGAGGCUUCCUCCAGAUAAGGAUUUGAAGAAGGAAAUUACUCAGACCCUAAGGGCUCUUGGGUUGGAGUUUGAUGACUUGAAUAUGAAAUCCCGUGAAGCUGAGAAGGAGGUAAAUGUGUUGCAGAUGAAAAUACAAGAAGUUAAUAAUAACCUUUCCAAACAACGCAAGGACAUGGACUCUAGGAAGAGAUUUAUUGAAUCCAAACUCCAGUCCUUGGAUCAACUGUCAUUUAGUGUUGAUUUAUAUCUCAAAGCAUUGGAGUCGUCCAAGGAGAAAAGAGAUGUUCAGAAAAGCAAGUACAAUAUUGCAGAUGGUAUGCGGCAGAUGUUUGAUCCUUUUGAACGAGUUGCCCGUGCUCAUCAUGUGUGCCCUUGCUGUGAACGCCCUUUCUCUGCUGAAGAGGAAGACGAAUUUGUUAAAAAGCAAAGAGUGAAGGCUGCAAGUUCUGCAGAGCAUAUGAAAGUGUUGUCUAUGGAAUCUUCAAAUGCAGACACUCUUUUUCAGCAGUUGGACAAGCUUCGUAUGGUUUAUGAAGAAUAUACCAAAAUUGGCAAGGAAACAAUUCCUCUUGCUGAGAAAAACUUGAGUGAGCUAACUGAAGAGCUGGAGCAAAAGUCUCAAGCCCUUGAUGAUGUGUUGGGUGUUUUAGCUCAAACAAAGGCCGAAAAAGACUCAGUUGAGGCCUUGGUGCAACCUGUUGAAACAGCUGAUAGGCUUUUCCAAGAAAUUCAGACUUGGCAAAAGCAAGUCGAUGAUUUAGAAUACAAGCUUGAUUUUAGAGGGCAAGGUGUUAGAACCAUGGAAGAAGUGCAGUCAGAGCUAAGUAGUUUGCAAGGCACAAAGGAUAAUUUGCAUAAUGAAGUGGAGAAGUUAAGGGAUGAGCAAAGGUACAUGGAAAAUGAUUUAUCACAUAUUCAAAUUCGGUGGCAUGCUCUGCGGGAGGAAAAAGUUACGGCAGCUAAUAUAUUGCGUGAUGUUAAAAAGUCAGAAGAAGAGUUAGAACGUUUGGUAGAGGAAAAACAUCAAGUUGAGCUGGAAGAGAAGCAUUUGGCAGAGGCUGUUGGUCCUUUAUCUAGGGAGAAAGAAAAAUUACAGGGCGAACACAAUGAGUUGAAAGUCCAACUUGAGCGGGAAUACGAGGAACAAAAAAAACAGUUAGACAACUUUAAACAGGAGGUGGACACACUUGUUAGAAUUGCAUCAAAGAUUAGAGAGUAUUAUAAUUUAAAGAAAGGUGAAAGAUUGAAAGAAAUGCAAGAAAAACUAUCUUUAUCCGAGUCCCAACUUCAAGGUUGUGAUGCUAGGAAGCAGGAAAUUUUAGCAGAACUCAAUGACAGUAAAAAUGCAGUGCGAAGUCAAGAUAACCUUAGAAGAAGUAUUGAGGACAACUUAAAUUACAGGAAAAUAAAGGCUGAAGUGGAAGAGCUUACCAGGGAGAUUGAAUCAUUGGAAGAGAGAAUACUGAAGAUUGGUGGGUUUUCCUCAUUUGAAGCUGAACUUGCAAAGCUAUUACAAGAAAGAGAGAGACUUCUUUCAGAGUUGAACAGGUUCCGUGGAACAAUGUCUGUUUACCAGAACAAUAUUUCGAAGAAUAAAAUUGAUCUUAAACAGGUGCAAUACAAAGAUAUUGAUAAGCGAUACUUUGAUCAGUUAAUCCAGCUAAAGACUACUGAAAUGGCAAACAAGGACCUGGACAGAUACUACAAUGCACUUGACAAGGCACUCAUGCGCUUCCACACAAUGAAAAUGGAGGAAAUUAAUAAAAUCAUUCGGGAAUUGUGGCAACAAACAUACAGAGGACAGGAUAUAGAUUAUAUUAGCAUACAUUCAGAUUCUGAAGGUGCUGGGACUCGUUCUUACAGCUACAAGGUUGUCAUGCAGACAGGUGACGCUGAGCUUGAAAUGAGAGGAAGGUGUAGUGCUGGUCAGAAGGUCCUUGCUUCACUUAUUAUUCGGUUGGCUUUAGCCGAGACAUUUUGCCUCCACUGUGGAAUACUAGCUCUAGAUGAACCUACAACAAACUUGGAUGGCCCAAAUGCUGAGAGUCUUGCUGCAGCUCUCCUUAGAAUCAUGGAGGAUAGGAAGGGCCAGGAGAAUUUUCAACUGAUUGUAAUUACUCAUGAUGAGCGAUUUGCUCAACUUAUCGGUCAGCGACAGCAUGCAGAAAGAUACUAUCGAGUUGCAAAAGAUGAUCAUCAGCAUAGCAUAAUUGAAGCCCAAGAGAUUUUCGACUGACAUUUCAAAAUGAGGCAGAAACUCCCUUCAUCCCAUUGAAUGUUCUGUUUGAAACGGAAGCAAAACCCAGAAACCAUUUCUACAACAGCAAUCCGUCUUUAUCCUCCUGCCUUUGUCCAAUCAAUGGCUGGGCUGCGGCUUCUCUGAUAUCCAAGACGUUUUAAGACUUGAGCUGAAUGCGUGAUCCUAACUCACCUUAUCCAGUGAUGUAGUGGAUUUUGAUACCAUGUUCUGAUAUAAUGCUGUUUUAUAAAGUCAUCUGGCAUCACCUCAUGCCCCCCCUUCUAAUUAAAUAUUCUGAUGAAACUAGUAGUCCCUACGGAUCCCUGCAUGAGCAAGCAAUGGAAGCAUGAAGGAAAGUAAGUUAAAAGGCCUGAGAAUGUCGAACUACCGUAUUUUGCAUAAUUGCUUAGUAAUCAGAAUCAAAAUGCAGCUAGAAACGAUGACAGAAAGCGAUGAACUUGUCUCCGACUCCGUCUCUACAAAAGGAAUGCUCUCGUUGUUGGAUGCCGGCCUACAAAUCCUCCAGUGUUUAUAGCAGCUGGCUGCAUCAAGGGGUCAAUCACUAGAUCAAUACAUGGUCAUUCUAACCAUUACCUACGUUUGAGGCCUUUGGUCUGACCCAGUUAGGGGGAAGAUACAAGAAGGAAUGUUGGAACAUGGCCCUUCGAUUUCCCAUAGGAGCACAUCUUCCAAAUAUAAUUGGCAGUAGUCAUGGUUGUUGAUUCAAAGACACAGGUAGCCAUUUCCAAUUGUUGCUAGCAUGAAAGCUUUAUAUAAAGCUAUAACUCAUUACUUUAUUGGUUGGACAAUCAAAUACAUCAUAAUAAUAGAACAGGCCAUUGAGAGGAUGGAACAUUAUCAGAACCCAAAUGACAUGACAUUCAUCCCAGCAUGACAAAAAGAACUCAUCCCACCAUGACCAAAAAGAAAAAAAAAAAAAAGAGAGAGAACCAGCAUAAAAGUGAAAUUAAAAUCAAAAGAAAAAUUGAAAGCUAACUACAAGACCA